rnacentral:rRNA from 1 species
AUCGAACGCUGGCGGCGUGCCUAACACAUGCAAGUCGAGCGGUAACAGGUGUAGCAAUACAUGCUGACGAGCGGCGAACGGGUGAGUAAUGCUUCGGAAUCUACCCAAUGGUGGGGAAUAACCAGCCGAAAGGUUGGCUAAUACCGCAUACGUCCCACGGGAGAAAGCAGGGGAUCGCAAGACCUUGCGCCAAUGGAUGAGCCGAAGUCGGAUUAGCUAGUUGGAGGGUAACGGCCUACCAAGGCGACGAUCCGUAGCUGGUCUGAGAGGACGACCAGCCACACUGGGACUGAGACACGGCCCAGACUCCUACGGGAGCAGCAGUGGGGAAUAUUGGACAAUGGGGGAAACCCUGAUCCAGCGACGCCGCGUGUGUGAAGAAGGCCUGC